rnacentral:lncRNA from 1 species
GGCUCGCUCGUGUUCUUGUGUUCUUGGGGUGUUUCCAGUGAUUUCCCAAAAGUUCUGAGACCCAGUGACCCCCCUGCACAAGGAGGGGGGAAACCAGGAAGACCAUUUUCUGGGAAGCUCAGGCCGUGUCAGGGAGUGAGGCGUGCGGGCCGAGCCCAGGUGGCACGAGCACACAGCCCGGGCAGGCCCGCGGUCGGCUCACUCCAUCGUCCUUCCCACCAAGACCUUUAGCGCCUUAAAGAGAAGCUGUUUUGUCCCACUGCGUCAGCCGAGACCCCAGUGAGCUAGAAUUCAAAGGCCAGAGCCUAAAGGCUGGAGAGCAGGAAAAAUGUGGACGAUGCCCUUUCUCCAGCCCCUGGAGGACUGGGGGUCGGAAACCCGGGUUCCAGUUCCUAUGGGCACCUGCUCACACUGACUUCGGCGAGAUGCUGACUCCUCCGUCAUUUCUUCAGUGAGGAGGUCGUGGCAGCCAUGCUUGAGUGCCUGCUGUAUACCCAGUGCUGUGUGUGAACGACCUCUUAUCAUUGAACUUGCCGGAGUGUGGGCUCCGUGAAGGUUGGGAGCUUGGUUUCUGGGAUGUCACAGUCUCUCCAGACGAUCAAGGAGCAUCCACUGGGGAGAGAAGGCCUAAUCUCAGAGCAGCUCACAGGCAGGAAUUGUCACUCUCUUCCACGUUACCGCGGAAGGGCUGAGCCUCAGAGAAGCAGGUUCAUGUAUUGGCUACCACGUGGGAUGACACAGCCCCAGACGCCUGUAAGAUUCCAGGGACCCGCGCGGCAGGACUAACAGUGGCCUUUCCUACUUCCGAGAAUUUCUCUCCAGCAUGUUCACACUUGGAUCAAAAUGUCGUCCGCAAAAAGCAAAAAAUCGUCAUUCAGCAAAGCUCCCGCUGAGGCCCUGGGACCCAGAUCCCGUCCAAGGUGUGAAUGGGCGAGAAGGAGCUGGAGAUUCGGGACGACCGACCCUCAUUGAGUUCCAGUGUGCCAGGUUGAACCCCAUCGUCCAUGCCACGUCCUCCGUCACUGCUGGCCCUGGAAGACAAGAGCGGCUCCCACGGCCAGUCCCAGCUCUGGUGGCUGGGCUGGUGGGACGCCGUGGACCGCUCUGAGUCAGGUGGUGAUGGAGUGGAUCCCAGGAUGGUAGCAGGAGCCUACGAGGAAGGCAGGGCAUGUGCAGCUGGGGCCCCGGCAAUCGCCGCAGGACACGGUGUGAGAGCCUGGCCCCAGACGCUGCGGGGCAGUUUCCAGAAGGGUCUCGCAUUGUAGCCUGGUCCAUCACCAAUAACCCCAGCUGUCAGUUUCUCUCCAUGCCCUCCCCUUGCUAAGAGGAAGAACAGGCUAAUAAGAGUUUAAAAAUAAGCAACAGAUUUGGAAGUCAUAGAGACCUGGGCCAAAUCUCGGGUCAGCCACUUACUCACCGGCUACCCUUGACCUUGUCACUUAACUCCUCUGACCUUCUUUAUCUCUCAUGGGUAAAACAGACUACAGUGGUGCCUACUUCACGCAUUUGUUAGAAGGAGAUCACUACGUGAGUGCUGGGCCUAAGGCUGGUGCAGAGUGAGGGCUCCGGUUACGGGCUGCUGUCGAGACCGGCCUCUCUCCGCCUGGCUCCGCCCUCAGUGGCCGGAGGUGACACAUCUGGAGGGGUCUGGUCUCUGAUGGCUGAAUUACUGAGGCCUUCCUGGGGCCGCAGAGCCGAAUGGAGCUGCUGCCAGGCCCCAGAGCUGCAGCAGGUGGACAAGCUCAGCGCUAAGGACGGCGUUUCUUCCUGAAAAGAUGUUCUGUAGAAGGCGUUGUCGUUGCUGCCGGAGAAUGCAAACUUAUCGCCUGUCUUCCAGCACGUCCCCACCUGUGAAACACAGGGUGAGACUGACGGCGUGGGUUCUUCCCCUCCUGCCUCCACGCUGACAGAAGCCCACUUGCAGGGCUUGUGAUGCCCCAGUGUCAGGGGAAGAGUCGUGAUCCGCCUAAACCAGCCAUGACGAUUCUUUUCUACUUUGUCCAAUGCUUGCUUUCCAGUCUCCCUUAUGACUAGGAGUGGCCCUAUGACCCUGUUUUAGACGGUGAGAAGAAGGGAAAAAGUCUGAUAGGUUGCAUCUGGGAAGGAUUUUCUUCUUAGAUAAAAGGACAGGAUUCUGGGAGGUGAAAGUCUUUGGUUCCUGCCAGGGGUGCUGCAUACAAGGGCAUGAUGUUUGGAAUUGUGGUAGCCAUCUUGUGACCAUGAGGCAACAAGCAUGAGGACAAAAUUUCAUUGAGCGUAAGAGUGGACAAAGCCUGGAUCCUUGAUGACAUUGUUGAGUGUCUGAACCUGCCCUGUGACAUCAUAUUUCUGGGCACCUGGUUAAGUGAACAAUGCAUAUUCUUAUGGUUGAAGCCAAUAUGUAUUGGGUUUCCUGUUGUUUGUCGUCAAAAGCGUCCCUGAUGGAAGCCCUGGAGGGGUGUGUCCAGGAGAAUUAGAGCAGCGGGGGACAGCUGAGUCCCUGCUGAAUAAGGGGCUCUGCUGUAGCCGCUGGGUGGAGAGAGAACUGGGGAGGAGGCGAAAGACGUUUCUCAGAAGCGUCUUGUGUGUUGUGUUUUAGAUCUCUUAAUUUCCUUUGAAAUUGCAAAUAAAAAUUAGAAUCACA